rnacentral:lncRNA from 1 species
CCCAUCAUUGGUAGAUUGGAUAAAGAAAGUGUGGUACAUAUGGUCAUUUUAUUAGGAAGUGAAAUAAAGUGUAUGUUAAUGAGCAUGUUGCUUUUGUGGGCCUAAUCCUAACAGCAACCGUCUGAGAAGCUGUGUGGAGCAUCCCUCAAGUCAUCCUUUCUUGGAUGAUGGGGAGGCUGGGGCAUUUAUCCACUUACCUUCCUUCCCCAUUGGUUGAUGGGUGUCCCUGGUGGCAUGAACCCCUCUCACUUCAGGGUUGCAUUUUUUUUUUGACAGAGCAAACCCCAUGGUGUUGGAGAAUCAGGAGAAGAAGAGAGAGGCUGGUCUAGAGGUGCAGAGCUUUCAGCAAACUGCUUACCACACCUAAGGUCAUUUUGAAUAUCUCUUGGGAGCCUGCAUCUCUUCCUUAUGAUCAGUUUCCUAGCACAGCGACUCAAGGGCCUGAUGCGUCAGGCUGCUGAGAUAUCUAUCUGUUCCGACAAAGGCUGCAUCAGUGCCAUGAAAACACAUCACGUGCUGCAAGUCCUGGCAACAUUUAUGUCUCCAAUGCAAAAUUGUGGAUUUCUGCCAAGAAUUUACCUGCCUAUUCUCCAAGGACAAACAGUGUGUGUUGCAGCCCUAAAACUACAUAUUUUCCUGCUACUUCAAAAUCUCCAUAAAAGGGCUGUGAGUUUCCAAUUUAGUCAACCAGGUGCACCAAUGUGAUAAGGUUGGUCCCUGCUGGAGGUUCUCCUUCCUACUUCCUUUCCUGACUGUGACCUAGUGACAUUCAAACACACCAAUGAAAUUCCCUCACUCUUUUUCUUGUGUGUCCCACCCUGAACCUCAAUAAAUGUACUUGCUCACAGGUUCUCUCUCUCUCUCUGCUUCCCAUCUGCUUGGGUGAUCCUGAUCCCUUCGUGCUCAUUCCCAUGUGAUUCCCCUUUCAGCAUGCAGUGAUCCUGUCUCUCUGGGACCUGUGAGCAUCAUAAACUGUUUUUUCCUGAGCCUCUCCUGUUUCUUCUCGUGGCCACACCUGACUUACCAUCUCAUGAAAGAAUGCAAAACAGUGAUUAUACUUUUUUUUUUUCCUUUAGGAAGGAGAGUAACAGAAGGAUCAGUUUCCAUUGAAAGUGCUAUGAUACAAU